rnacentral:rRNA from 1 species
UACAGAGGUCUCAAGCGUUGUUCGGAUUCAUUGGGCGUAAAGAGCGUGUAGGCGGUCCGGUAAGUCAGCUGUGAAAGUCAAGGGCUCACGCCUGAAUGCCGGUUGAUACUGUCGGGCUAGAGUUCGGAAGAGGCGAAGUGGAAUUCCCGGUGUAGCGGUGAAAUGCGCAGAUAUCGGGAGGACACCUAUGGCGAAGGCAGCUCGCUGGACGUUACUGACGCUGAGACGCGAAGCGUGGGGAGCAAACAGG